GACAGCAGUCGCCGCGGGAAUACGUAGGUGGCAAGCGUCGUCCGGAAUUAUUGGGCGUAAAGCGCGCGCAGGCGGAUCAGUCAGUCUGUCUUAAAAGUUCGGGGCUUAACCCCGUGAUGGGAUGGAAACUGCCGAUCUAGAGUAUCGGAGAGGAAAGUGGAAUUCCUAGUGUAGCGGUGAAAUGCGUAGAUAUUAGGAAGAACACCAGUGGCGAAGGCGACUUUCUGGACGAAAACUGACGCUGAGGCGCGAAAGCCAGGGGAGCGAACGGGAUUAGAUACCCCCGUAGUCCCUGUCUCUUAUACA
rnacentral:rRNA from 1 species